UGUUGGGUUAAGUCCCGCAACGAGCGCAACCCUUGUUCACUGUUGCCAGCACGUUAUGGUGGGGACUCGUAGGAGACUGCCGGGGUCAACUCGGAGGAAGGUGGGGAUGACGUCAAGUCAUCAUGCCCCUUAUGUCCAGGGCUUCACGCAUGCUACAAUGGCUGGUACAGAGAGUGGCGAGCCUGUGAGGGUGAGCGAAUCUCGGAAAGCCGGUCUCAGUUCGGAUUGGGGUCUGCAACUCGACCUCAUGAAGUCGGAGU
rnacentral:rRNA from 1 species